rnacentral:rRNA from 1 species
GACGAACGCUGGCGGCGUGCUUAACACAUGCAAGUCGAACGGAAAGGCCCUGCUUUUGUGGGGUGCUCGAGUGGCGAACGGGUGAGUAACACGUGAGUAACCUGCCCUUGACUUUGGGAUAACUUCAGGAAACUGGGGCUAAUACCGGAUAGGAGCUCCUGCUGCAUGGUGGGGGUUGGAAAGUUUCGGCGGUUGGGGAUGGACUCGCGGCUUAUCAGCUUGUUGGUGGGGUAGUGGCUUACCAAGGCUUUGACGGGUAGCCGGCCUGAGAGGGUGACCGGCCACAUUGGGACUGAGAUACGGCCCAGACUCCUACGGAAGGCAGCAGUGGGGAAUAUUGCACAAUGGGCGGAAGCCUGAUGCAGCAACGCCGCGUGCGGGAUGACGGCCUUCGGGUUGUAAACCGCUUUCGCCUGUGACGAAGCGUGAGUGACGGUAAUGGGUAAAGAAGCACCGGCUAACUACGU